rnacentral:tRNA from 1 species
AGCAGCGUGGCUCAGUGGAAAGAGCCCGGGCUUGGGAGUCAGAGGUCAUGGAUUCGAAUCCCGUCUCUGCCA